GUCUUAUUGAAAAUAAUUUUAAGUCUGAUCUGCCCAAUGAAAUUUUAAAUGGCUGCAGUAUUUUAACUGUACAAAGGUAGCAUAAUAAUUUGUCUCUUAAUUAGGGACUUGUAUGAAUGAUCAAACGAGAUAAUAACUGUCUCUAAAUAAAUUAUAGAAUUUUAUAUUUAAGUAAAAAAGCUUAAAUUUUUUUAAAAGACGAGAAGACCCUAUAGAGUUUUAUAUUUUUAUUAUUAUAAAUUUUUAGUAUUAAUAAUUAAUUUUAAAUAAAAAUAUUUCAUUGGGGUGAUGAAAAAAUUAAAAUAACUUUUUUAUAUUUUUAACAUAAAUUUAUGAUUUUUUGAUCCAAUAUUUUUGAUUAUAAGAUUAAAUUACCUUAGGGAUAACAGCGUAAUUUUUUUAAAGAGUUCUUAUCGAAAAAAAAGAUUGCGACCUCGAUGUUGGAUUAAAAUUAAUUUUUGGCGUAGAAGUUAAAAUAUUAGGUCUGUUCGACCUUUAAAAUUUUACAUGAUCUGAGUUUAAAUCGGCGUGAGCCAGGUUGGUUUCUAUCUUUAAUUAAAUAUUAUAUUUUAGUACGAAAGGACCAAAUAUUUAUAAUAAUUAUUAUUUUUAGAAUAUUAUUAAUGUUACUUUGGCAGAUUAGUGUUUUAAAUUUAGAAUUUAAAUAUGUGUAUUAACACAAGUAAUACUUGUUUUUUAAAGAUUUAUUAGUAAUGUCAGUUGGAGUUUUAUUAUUAAUUAUUUGUGUUUUAGUAGGAGUUGCAUUUUUAACAUUACUUGAACGUAAAGUUUU
rnacentral:rRNA from 1 species